AGAUCUAAACUAGCAACAGAGGAGACUUCAUUGCCUUUCAAAUUUCGCGAAGGACAAACGAACACGGGUACCUUCGUUUUGGUUUGUCCCUAGGGCCUAUAUCGGUAUUUGGGCGUAUUGGCAUUUAUAGCAUUGUUGCCGACUGACUGGAAAAGACAUUUCGUUAGGUUUUUACACAUUCUGAUUGAAAUUCAGAGAAACUAUUAAGACCGCCUUCCAAAAAUUGCUGUGGUUCCCAUCCUUACAUCGUUCAGUGGACUGUUUUCACUUCCUCUUGUAGACAAAAAUUAUAGAUCUCUGUCCCGGAAGUCUGAGGUAAGAGCACUCUAACAUUUAUCUCUUCUAUGUAGUUUGCAAGCGUUUAAUUACGGUAGUACUUCGCCCACAAGGCUGAAGCAUUCUGAUUUUGUCUCCCCGUCGCUGGCGUUGUACGUCAUAUUGUGCUAAUAGACUCGAUUGAAAAAGAACUUGCGCGCUCUCUGAUAGGUGUCUUAUUCGAAAAUGCUAAAUGGUAGCAAAGGGACUCUUUUAUAACCUACUUAGUCCAGUGUUUAAAAUGCGUCAUUAAAACCUUGGCCCGCUAUCCCUCCCCCCAAAAUACUUAACUGGUCUUUCCGCUACAUCAAUAGAGAACCGGGUCAAUAAUAGUCAGCAUGUACAGUAUUGAUGCAGAACCGUAAUCCUGCGAUUAAACUGUCCUUCGAAGAUAGAAAUCAUUUGAUGCAUUUCAAGCUUUGUGAACUCCUUGAUAUUCAUAUAGUGAUAUAUUCUGGUUUUUUUUUACACCGAUUAAGUGCCAUCAAAUCAUUAUCGGUUCAUUUUUCAUAUAUAGUUCAGGAAUAUAUCUAUCUUUCAAAGGUAGGGAAUUUUAUAACCUACGGAUAUUAACAUAUCUAUGGAUAUUAAAUUAAAGGGAAAGAUUGUGGGGUGCAUCCAUAUUGUAUGUUGUCCUAUUAUCUAUUUUACACUUACAGCAUGGUAAGGUUGACAAUCAAGUCUUUAAAUAUUCUCUCAGGGACCAAUAAACACAACAAAAAUGAUAAUUUGAAUUAAUUUCCUACUUAAAUCAUGCUUUAUAUUCUUUUAAACCCAACCAUUGAUUUUUUUUAUUAAUAUUGAGUAUUCUAACUCUUUAUUCCAGCUUUUGUAAAUAUUAAUAUCUACUUGAGGGGCACUUUUAAAAUGUUUAUAAAUAUUGUAGAAUUAAAAGCAUCCAGUCCCCAUAACAAUCCAUUGCAAAUUUAAAAGAUAUUUAAUUGAAUAGAUUGCUAUAUUUCAGGCAAUCAAAAUAUUCCUUGCAACAAUGCAAAUAGUUUAAAUCUUGAUUGGUUAAUACUCCUUCUUGCCCAGGAUUUAAAAAAUAUUCCUAAUGUUAUAUUCCAGUGUUUAUAAGAGCGAUAGUAACAAAUAUGCUUUCAUUUCUACAUUUUUAAGUAUGUUUUGCAUCACCUAAUGCAGGAAAUGCAGUAAAGCUAUGUAUUGCUAACUACAGACCCAGACUCUCAAGAUUUGGAAUGCAAUGGGCUACCUGGAAUACAGCCCUUAGGAAUAUAAUUGGCCUGUUUCAAGAGAAGGAAGUGCAAGAUCCUGGCUGGGCAUUAACAAGUACUUAUGUACAAGCCUUACUGAAAUACAGCUUCAGUGGUGCUGGGAUAUGCUGGCUUCUUUAAUUUAAAAAAAUUAAAUUGCAACCAGUUUUUUUUUAAUAUACCACUUAAAAUUUAAUUCUUGUACUUGGAAAGUAUUGCAAGCUUAUACAUGGAGUUUAAUGUGAUGGUUAUAUAGCAACUUUUAAACUCUUCACAAUAUAUAGUUUGUAUCAAGCGAGUUUUUUUUUUUAUAUUUGCAAAGCUCCUUUUUUUACAUUUGCAACCAGAAAGCUCAACUGACCAGUUUAUCAAAAUUUGAUUUCUAUUUUAUUUAUUAAUGUGAAUCCCAAAGACCAAAACCCCACUUAGAGCCACACUGGUUUAAUAUUUUAUGAGAGAUUGUUGCUAAAUUGCUUUCUGUAUUAUCUUUAUUGUUAAAAUUAUAAAUUAUGUUAUGUAG